GCCGGGUGUGGUGGCUCACUCCUGUAAUCCCAGUACUUUGGGAGGCCGAGGCAGGUGGAUCACCUGAGGUCAGGAGUUCGAGACCAGCCUGACCAACAUGGUGAAACCCCGUCUCUA
rnacentral:SRP_RNA from 1 species